UCGGUCCGGAACGAGGCUGGCGC
rnacentral:piRNA from 1 species